CCUGCUCCGCUGUUGCCCCUCCCUCCGCCUGCCUCGCCCCCUCCCCUACACUCACCCCUGCCCGAUCUGGAUCUGGAUGAGGCGUUGCCUCCCGUUCCUCUCAUCGCGUCCCUUCUGCCAGCCAUGGAAGAGGGGAGGAAGAAGCUUCUCUGUAGAAUCAGCCGAUCGAGCGGGCUCCUGAUGUUGGCUUGCGAGAAUGCGGCAGAUCUCGUCGAUGCUGCAGGGCCUGGCCCGUUCCAUGUCUCUGGGAAAGGAUAGGAAGGUGGAGGAGGAGCACCAGGGGACGGUGCUGCGGUCGUCGGGGACGCUCUGGGGCGAGGGCUUCGAGACGUUCGCUGCCGCGUGCUGGACGUACAAGCACCAGCACCUCUGCUGGCCGUUUCCUCCAUACUGACAGAUCGCCGUGUUGCUAUCCUUGUAUGUUGUAGCCAGGAGGAGAGGUAGGCGCGGUGCCGCUCAUGGCCGUGGCGUCGUGCUUGUGGUAGUGGUGAAUUGGAGAGAACGACCUCCUAUCUAUGCACGUCCAUCUACUGCGGGCUUUCCCUCUUCCAGCAACAUCAUGUCUCAGUUUGCCGCCGCCAUUCAUCCGGAUGGCCCUGGACAUACAUACCAGCACCACACCCUUCCUCCUGUUGCUGGGGACGCAGCUAUCAUCGGUCCUCUGUUGUCUGCAGCCCGGACGUACAAGCCGUCGAAGCUGACGUUCCUUUGCAUAGGCUGCACAGACGGGUGUACAAGUUGUUGCUUCUGUUCAUCCACGCGCCAGUGACUCACAUACGUUGCUAGCUUUUGUUACUUGGUCCAUCCCUAGGAAGCAAUAAGAUUACUUCAGUAUGCAUAUACACGUUGCUAGCUACGUGCAGGGUAUCUCAAGUUCACAAAUAUUUAUGAGAUUGUUUUACUAGCUUUUGUUAUUAUUUGGCCCUUCAGUAUGCAGAUUGAUCUCAACAUUCAUAAGAAUCUUAAAAAAAAAUGGAGAUGAAAAUACUUCAAGUAGUUCUGAGUGGACAUCAUUUGAUAGCAUUUUGUUGUAGCAUCUACAGAAGACCUUUUCAUUUCAUUUUACCGAGAAACGCUGGAGGGUUCAUGUUUUCCUUAUCCAGGACAUUUUGAAGGUUCCUGAUGCAUUCUUACAAGAAGCAACAAUCCAGAGGGAUACGGGUGCCAGGACGACACCAUCUUCUGCGCCGUCUGCCUUCCUCUCCUCCAGCGGGAGAGGCCCCUGCCUUCCUCUCCUCCUGCGUGGUGGCAGAUGGCCGCAGUUAACAGCGCUCCUGCGAGCGGGGGACACGAGUGCGGUGCAGACAGUGACCAGGUGUGACGAGACAGCCGCCGGCCAACUGUGGGCGGUUCUUUCACGUGCAGUAGACCGUGCCAUUCUAUGACGAGGAUGUGUUCCAGGAAAUGGAAACAAAUGAAACUGGAUGCUCAUCAUGUAUUUCAUGAAGAAAUUUGCAUGUCUGGGGCAUGUCUCCAUAUAAAAGGCCGAUCUCUGCACAACAGUAGUUUCUUCAGGUUAUGGUGUCCGAUUUUUUUCAUCUCAUUUUGCCAUGCACUAGAUUACAUGGUUAAUACUGUCACUAUGCAAUAACUGGGAAGAUUACGGAGGGAAGGGACAAUAUGUAAGAUGGGGCAAGGAGGCUGGUGUAGAUCUUGCUUCUCAUGACGACUUCAUAUCUGAUGCAACACUUCAGAGCUACUACAAAAGCUUUUUUUAGGAAGCUACUACAAAGCUUUUUUUCGGAAGCUACUACAAAGCUUUAGUUCAGGAAAUAUGUCGAAGCACAGAAUAUAUUCCAUUUGCAGUGGACUAACAGAACAACACAACACAUAAAAAGAGGAGUAUAAGUGGAAACCUUUCUUUAUCUUUAAAUUCUUGAGGACGGUAACAUUAUGAUGAAGGUGGAACCAUAAAGAGAUGUGUAUUUUUAAUUGGGAUAUUUUCAGGAGUACCUUUGCAAAGCUGAUAUAUCUUUCUUUUACAAGAUAUGGUUGCACUUGCUUCAUCUACAUAGGCCGUCUGGAAUGCCAUGAGACCGGGAUUGGUGUAGGAAAUCUUCAAAGCUAUUAUAUUGGUCUCCAGAAACUUGCAAUACAUCAAUGCAUUUUUAUUUUUAUUUUUUUGCUGACACCACAGCUACCACCUCUUCACUAAAUGACAGAGGUUGCCAGCAACUGCACAUGGAAAGAUUGAAUGUUAUAUUCUGUCUACUAAUCAAUAAGGAGGGAGAUCAAAUUACUGCUCUCAAAUAUUCACCUGAUUGAUUUUGAAAAUAGGGUUAAAAAUGGUGUUAUGAAUGAAGAUGGAUGAGGGUGAGGGCUGGGAGAAGAUGUUGUAUUGCAAGAAGAAGUUGGUUAAGAAGACUGAUGAUUAUGAGAAUGAAGGACACGAACUUUUGAAUUAGACCAAUUGUUUGAUCGAUCAUUUUUGUUCUCUUGAAAACGAUGUAUGGUCAAUUUUAGUAUUCUGAUGUGAUUGAAGAAUAUAGGAGGGACAAAGAGAUGCGCUACUGCCAGGACAAUUAUGACUUUCUAUUCAGGUAUUCAGUUAUGAUUCUCCAUGGUCAUGCUUCUCCUAUUCACCUGGAAGUUUAUUGAUGGGAGGGAAGCCACUUCUGCUUUGAUGAUUUCUUGGAAGUUCAGCUAGGUGAAUUUACGAUCAGUAUAUACAAGUCAGGUUGUUUGCGAGAAAAUUUCAUUCCUUAGAAUCAUUGUCAUUGUUGUUGCCUACAAGGUACUUGAAGAAAAUGCCCGAGACAUAUUUUAAGGAGUAUAAUUCAGCACUAAGGCUAUUAUUACAACGAUGAAAUCUUUGUUGUGGUAGUUAUGUCUUCAAAUGUGUCGAUCCCUAUCGGCUUACUGAAAUAAACUUUUUUUUGUCGAUUUCUAUUGGCUUACUGACAGCUUGUUUAUUCUUUUCGAAUUUUAAUUCCUUGAUCUUUGCCUCUGCCCAUCUCCAUAUCACACAGAAGGUGCUCAGUGCAAUGCAUCAUGCAGUGAUUCCAUGA